rnacentral:tRNA from 1 species
GCUCAGUGGUUAGAGCAUCGGUCUCUGAACCCAAUGGUCGUGGGUUCAAUUCCCAGU